UACGAAGGGGCGAGCGUUGUUCGGAAUCACUGGGCGGUAAAGACGUGCGUAGGCCGUUUCGCAAGUUGGGAGUGAAAGCCCAGGGCUCAACCCUGGAAUUGCUCUCAAGACUGCGAGACUUGAAUUCGGGAGAGGAUAGCGGAAUUUCCAGUGUAGCAGUGAAAUGCGUAGAUAUUGGAAGGAACACCAAUGGCGUAAGCAGCUAUCUGGACCGACAUUGACGCUGAGGCACG
rnacentral:rRNA from 1 species